GCCUAUUUGUAGGUAAAUAUUAACCAGCAGACAUGGACUGAAGGUUCAGUCCCAGUUUGAACCUGGAUCUUUUAUGUCGGCUCCUCUAUAAAGGUGUUCAACUCUGGUUCUGGUUUAUAUAUUUUAAAAGUUCUUCUGACAUCUCCUUCACUUUCUGUGCCAAAGCAUCAUGGAAGUGGUGCACAAUAUCAUUCUGGCUGUUUACAUCAUUUCCUUUCUGAUUGGUCUGCCGGCCAACCUUCUGGCUCUCUACGCCUUCAGUGUGAAGAUCUGCUCCAAGCCACAGCCGACCGACAUCCUCCUCCUCAACCUGACGGUGUCCGACCUGCUCUUCCUCUUUGUCCUGCCCAUGAAGAUGCACGAGGCAGCGUCUGGCAUGAUCUGGACAUUUCCGGCCGUCCUGUGCUCCAUCACCUCCUUCAUCUACUUCUCCACCAUCUACUCCAGCUCCUUGUUGCUGAUGGCCAUCAGUGUGAUUCGCUAUGUGGGCGUGGCCUUCCCCAUCUUCUAUCUUCGGGUGCGGCGGCCGUUGUACGCUGUUGUCGCCAGCGCUGUGAUCUGGCUGCUGUCCAUGGGCCACUGCAGCAUCACCAUCAUCAUUGAGAACCAUCCGUACUUCAUGGAGAACUCCUCCCAGAACAACAGCAGCCGUUGCUACGAUAACUUCCAGGAGAACCAGCUGAAGGUCCUGCUCCCUGUGCGGUUGGAGAUGUUCCUUCUGCUCUGCCUCUUCUGCAUUUACUGCUACUUGCAUACCAUCUGGAUCCUGUCACACCGGACCAGCAUCAGCCAAGCUCGGCGACGAAAGGCCAUAGGAAUGGCUCUGGGAACGCUGGCAGUAUUCCUGGUCUGUGUGAUUCCAUACAACUUGUCUCAUUUGGUGGGUUAUGUUCAGAGACAGAGCCCGAUAUGGAGAUACUACGUCCUGCUGCUGACCAGCCUCAACACCUGCAUCGACCCCAUCAUCUUCUACUUCUCGUCCUCAGCCUUCCGCUGCACCAGUGCCAGGUCGGUCCUCAGGAGGAACCACCUCUGGCCUUUACCAUCACAAAGGCCAGGAAUGAAUCCCAGCCAAAACAUUCCUUAGAUUUAAUCCAGGUGUGAAGGUCACCUGGCCUGAGUGACCUCAGGGACCUGGGUUCCCCGGAUAUAUAUUUUUAAAUGAUUUUUGAUUGUUUUAAAAGCUGAAUCUAAAAUGUCCAGUCAGGCUUCUGUAGCACACUCAGGCCCCGCCCCUUCUCCCACUUCCCAGUUAGUAGGUCCUGCUAUGUUACUAACAGAUGUUCUAAUUACAGGGGUGUUGAAUGGUGGAGGGGUGCUAAAGGGCGGGGCUUAAAGCUAAACUUUAGGUUGUGUUGAUACUUUCAUUUCCGUAAUGUUCUUUUGGCAUCAGGUGGACAUACAGAGACAGACCUGGACGUGGUCCACGGUCCGUCUGUGAUGUACUUUGUCACUCACUGCUAAAAAUAAAAACCUUGAGUUACAGCCGUAAAUGUGGGAAUUAAUUACAGAAUUGAACUGUGGGUCAGAGAAGCAGUUCCAAAACAACACUGAGCAGGAGCAGUGAGAACAGACCGUGUUGAUCAAUGUCAGGGUUGAGGCCCUCGGAUCAGUCCGGACCAUCCAAUCAGAUCCUGGCUGCUCUGAGUUGUACUUACACGCCCUCUGAUGGCACCAGAGGUCCAAUGACAGACCACAGAGAGAAAUGGUUCAUCAUCCAGGUCAUUGUUGGUCGUUGGGUUUUGAGCAGCGAGUCCAAACCUGGACCAGGAAGUUCUGCAUGAUUACAGUGUACACAGGCAGGGCGAGCAAAUUAGGUAGAGAGAGAGAGAGAGAGACAUCAGUUUGUCACAUUACUUUACAUAAAUGAUUUGCAUCAGUGAAAAUAGUAACAGUGAGGAAACAGUUGCUUCAUAUUCAAAUUCAAUAGUUAAAAAAAAACCAAACAAAUAUCUGUUGACUUCUUCGUACAAAUUUAAAUUUACAGCUGCAGAAAAACUUCAGUAAAGACGAACAAUUCUAACUUUGUUCUGAGGAUAAAGACUAAUAAAUGUCCACUUUCUUAACAACUGUUAAUGUGUCAACACUACUUGGUAGUGACACACACGCACACACACACAGGAAGAGCAGGAGUCCACAGAGGAGGAGGAGAACCAGGAUACUGCAGGGGAUUCCAGCAGCGACACCGGCCACAGCAGAACCACUCAGACCGUCACCUACUGUUAACAACACACGCUGCUGAAACAGAGGCUGGUCCUCAGUGAAAACACCGCUGCCUCCAGUGGUCAGUUUAUGUCCCAGAGACAGGAAGGAAGGGUCACUCAUCUGUGGAAGAUGCCCGAGCCUCCAUGGAGCUGUACAAGGUGGUGGAGCAGGAGUGGGAGAAGAUGCUGGUCUCUAAACCUCAGUCCACAUCGUCCUGAGGACCUGGACCUGGAGUCACAGACUGGGGGAAGUCAAACAAGAGACCUUCAUCAUCAUCAUCAUCAUCAUCAUCAUCGGGUUCUUGGAGACACUUUGAUUUGGGUUACGGUCUUUUUUUCUGGACUCAUCCAGAGAUAAGGAUUUGAAUCCUGUCUGUCACUGAGCAUUUGAUUAAAAAAAACGGAUUCCCCUGAGGGGGAGAGAUCCAUAUGAUCUGAAACCACUUCCUGCUGCUGCUUUGCCUAUUUGUAGGUGAAUAUUAACCAGCACACAUGGACUGAAGGUUCAGUCCCAGUUUGAACCUGGAUCUUUUAUGUCGGCUCCUCUAUAAAGGUGUUCAACUCUGGUUCUGGUUUAUAUAUUUUAAAAGUUCUUCUGACAUGUGAGUAAAAAGGUUUGUUUAAAAU